rnacentral:rRNA from 1 species
CCUACGGGGGGCUGCAGUGGGGAAUAUUGGGCAAUGGAGGCAACUCUGACCCAGCCAUGCCGCGUGGGUGACGAAGGUCUUCGGAUUGUAAAGCCCUUUCGGCGGGGACGAUGAUGACGGUACCCGCAGAAGAAGCCCCGGCUAACUUCGUGCCAGCAGCCGCGGUAAUACGAAGGGGGCUAGCGUUGUUCGGAAUUACUGGGCGUAAAGGGCGUGUAGGCGGCCCGUUAAGACAGGUGUGAAAUUCCUGGGCUCAACCCAGGACGUGCGCCUGUGACUGGCGGGCUUGAGUCCGGGAGAGGAUGGUGGAACUCCCAGUGUAGAGGUGAAAUUCGUAGAUAUUGGGAAGAACACCCGUGGCGAAGGCGGCCAUCUGGACCGGUACUGACGCUAAGGCGCGACAGCGUGGGGAGCAAACAGGAUUAGAUACCCUAGUAGUC